CAAUCACCUCGAUGUCUCGUGUCUACCAAAGAUCCUAGGUGUCUACUCCAGAUUCGCACUUUCGCAAAAAGUUCUACAAUGCGUUUUGCCCAAUACAAAAUGGCAAACAGAGCUAUCAAAGUCACUCAUAUUACACCUCCGCUGGGAAAUAUUGAGAUUGUAUCCAAAUUAUGCAUGGACUGGUGUUGGAUGGAGCCUACAGCAUCACACUGGGCUAGGACGAACCCAACGUUAUCAAUCCAAUGCCGCCAGGCCAACGGGUCUUAAAGUGAGUAAAUAAGAAAUUGCAGAUCUCCUUGAACCAAAAACAAACUUUUCAAACUUGGAAGUUGCAAGACGACGCUGGAAUGUAGCAACUCUCUGCAUGCUGUUCCAGAAGCAAAGCUAGUUAUUGCAUUCAUGUGUAGUAUGAUUUGACUGGGUAGUAUGCGGAACCAGCUUUUCACUGUAUCUCUGUGCGUGUGACAGUAAAUAAAUUAAACUGAAUGCUUGUGGCAUUUUCUGCUUUUAUUCAUUGUGGCCAUUGGCAAUAAACAUCAAAUCAAUAUGUAUACCAUUACAAACCUUGACCUUUACUUUGACCCACUGCUGUUCGCUUAUGCCACCACGGGUCCACGGAUGAUGCCAUCUCCCUGGCCCCACACUCAUCCCUGGAACACUUGGAUAAGAGAGAUAUCUAUCUGCCAUAAGUAUUCCUU